GAUGAACGCUGGCGGCGUGCCUAAUACAUGCAAGUCGAACGCAUAGCGAAAGGUGCUUGCACCUUUCAAGGGAGUGGCGAACGGGUGAGUAACACGUGGACAACCUGCCUCAAGGCUGGGGAUAACAUUUGGAAACAGAUGCUAAUACCGAAUAAAACUUAGUGUCGCAUGACACAAAGUUAAAAGGCGCGUCGGCGGCAGCUAGAGAUGGAUCCGCGGUGCAUUAGUUAGUUGGUGGGGUAAAGGCCUACCAAGACAAUGAUGCAUAGCCGAGUUGAGAGACUGAUCGGCCACAUUGGGACUGAGACACGGCCCAAACUCCUACGGGAGGCUGCAGUAGGGAAUCUUCCACAAUGGGCGAAAGCCUGAUGGAGCAACGCCGCGUGUGUGAUGAAGGCUUUCGGGUCGUAAAGCACUGUUGUAUGGGAAGAACAGCUAGAAUAGGAAAUGAUUUUAGUUUGACGGUACCAUACCAGAAAGGGACGGCUAAAUACGUG
rnacentral:rRNA from 1 species